CCUCCCUCCCUCCCUCCUUCCUUCUUUUCUUCCUUUCUUUUCUUCCUUCCUUCCUUCCUUCUUUCUUUUCUUCCUUCUUUUCUUCCUUCCUUCCUUCCUUCCUUCCUUCCUUCCUUCCUUCCUUCCUUCCUUCCUUCCUUCCUUCCUUCCUUCCUUCCUUCCUUCCUUCCUUCCUUCCUUCCUUCCUUCCUUCCUUUUCCUCACUCCUUUUUCUAUUACUGUCCCAUUUAGUUCAACUGACUACCCCAGUUUCAUAAGGAUUAAGAACCUAGAAGCACUAAUAUUAUGCAAGGUCCAGUGUGGAUAUGGAGAAUAUAGGGUCAUAAAAUCAAACAGCUAGAGCUGGAAGGAACUUCAGUGGUCAUCUAGCCCCAUUUUAUAGAUAAACUGAGGCCCAUAGAGGUUAAAUGACUCUGCCCAAGGUCAGACAGCAGGUAAGUAACACAAGUGUCAUUUGUACCCAGGUCUUCCUGACCUGACACCCAGUUGUAUUGACUCUGCCAAUGAAAACCCUGUGGGCUUCAUGCUCAAAAGACUUACAGUUCAGCUUGGAUGAUGAGAAACCUGUACAAAUCGAGAUAAUCCCGAAUUGAACAUUUUAAAAGAGCUCUGACCCACACAGAACAUAUUCCGAGUGCAGUGUCUCUCUGGCAGCCAGUGAUUGAUAAAUGCCUGCUGAAUUGACUUGAGUUGAAUUUUAAAAAGAGAUUCGGGGUUAGGUGGCCCUUGAGGUCCACUCCUAUUCUAAAAUCCCAUGUAGAAAAAGCUCAUCUCCGGGUCCUGAACUGUCCUGGAUUCGAGUUUUGAUCGGGAGGUGACUGUGGCCCCUUCUGAGGCCGCUCAGUCAUUAUUCAGGCGUGUCCAAUUCUUCAUGACGCCAUUUGGGGGUUCUCUUGGCAAAGAUACUCGAGUGGUUUGCCAUUCCCUUCUCCAGUCCAUUUUACAGAUGAGGAAAGCACGGCCAGCAGGGGGAAGUGACUUGCCCAGGGGUUACAUAGCUCCUGUCUGAGGUCAGAUUUGAACUCAGGAAGAUGAGACUCCUAUCCACUGUGGCGCUGUAGCUCCCCAUUCAGUUGUAGACCGUCCGCAAGGACGGCUACUCGGAGGAGGACGAGCACUGCGGAGUACCGCCUCACGCAUCAUUCGGGGACCAUUUCAAAACCUGCAGGUUAGUUUCUCAGCAUCCCAGAAGAGCCGAGCUAACGAGGGAGCUCGAAGAGGAGAAUGUGAGAACAUAAAUAUCCCACGAAGGCUGGAGGUGAUCUCGGAAUAGAGACUUUUGAACACAGAACAGAGACUGUGAGGGCAUAAAACAAGGAUUAUUAGGUCCUAGAAUGUAGUAUGUUGGGGGAGCCCAAGAAGUACAGAAGUAAUGGCGGGACCCGGGCCAGCCUGGGCUCCCGAGGCUUGAACGGAAACCGUGGAAUGGGAACUAGUUAUCCUAGCAGCGGCCAGGGACAGCGGACUAACUGCUCCACGACGUCGGGGAGAGUACCUUCCCGGGGGAACUGCCGCCGCCGCCGCCGGCGCUGCCGCCGCAACUCGGGCUGUGUCAUCUGCAUGAUGGAUUUCGUGUAUGGGGAUGCCAUAAGCUGCUUGCCGUGCCUCCACGCGUACCACGUCAACUGCAUCGAUGACUGGCUCUCCUAUUCCCUGUCCUGUCCCUGCUGCAUGGAGCCAGUGGAUCCGUCCUUGCUGUAUCCCUGUGUCACCUGUUAAAUGAGGAACUUGGCAGCCAACAGCUCUGCCCCAGCAUGCUCAGGGCCAAAGAAUACCAGGCCUUAAAACAACUUGUAUGCAGUCAGGCUCCCUUCCCGUCAGCCGACAAACACAAAUAAACAGCAUUUCACAAA